rnacentral:lncRNA from 1 species
GACACGGCGGAUCUGGAUUGGUUAUUUUGAUGAAAAGGACUUGUAUAAAUGUUAACUUGGGAGAUGUAUCAUUUAUAUAAUGAUGUAUGAAAAAGAUGUUAGAAAAUUGCGUACGGUAAAACGCAGCGGAAAAAGAAAUCAAACAAAUUUGAUUUUGAAAAACUCUCGAGAUCUAAUCUCAAAAACCACGCAAUUAGGAUCCCUCAUGUUCUUUAAGAUUAAAGGAGAAAAGUAAGAUCGAAUCAUUACUUUUUUCGCGGAUAAAUUCUUGCCUCAAUUUGAUAAUCGUGGAAUCGGGUUCUCUUGAAGCCGCACACGCGUCCGGCCUCUAUAGGUAUCCACAUGAGGUUCUUGAUUUGAUCGAUGUCCUCACCGGGGUGCUA